CUUGCCCCUAGAGGCAUGGCAGGCGUGGCUGCUCUGUCACAGGUGCAACAAUAGGUGGCAGGGAGGAGAGAAGAUGUUUAUGCUUGGUGUUCUGAGCUAUGAACACCUAAAUGAUUAGCAGCCUAACACU